rnacentral:rRNA from 1 species
GGGUUGUGAGGUUAAGCGACUAAGCGUACACGGUGGAUGCCCUGGCAGUCAGAGGCGAUGAAGGACGUGCUAAUCUGCGAUAAGCGUCGGUAAGGUGAUAUGAACCGUUAUAACCGGCGAUUUCCGAAUGGGGAAACCCAGUGUGAUUCGUCACACUAUCAUUAACUGAAUCCAUAGGUUAAUGAGGCGAACCGGGGGAACUGAAACAUCUAAGUACCCCGAGGAAAAGAAAUCAACCGAGAUUCCCCCAGUAGCGGCGAGCGAACGGGGAGCAGCCCAGAGCCUGAAUCAGUGUGUGUGUUAGUGGAAGCGUCUGGAAAGGCGCGCGAUACAGGGUGACAGCCCCGUACACAAAAAUGCACAUGCUGUGAGCUCGAUGAGUAGGGCGGGACACGUGGUAUCCUGUCUGAAUAUGGGGGGACCAUCCUCCAAGGCUAAAUACUCCUGACUGACCGAUAGUGAACCAGUACCGUGAGGGAAAGGCGAAAAGAACCCCGGCGAGGGGAGUGAAAAAGAACCUGAAACCGUGUACGUACAAGCAGUGGGAGCACGCUUAGGCGUGUGACUGCGUACCUUUUGUAUAAUGGGUCAGCGACUUAUAUUCUGUAGCAAGGUUAACCGAAUAGGGGAGCCGAAGGGAAACCGAGUCUUAACUGGGCGUUAAGUUGCAGGGUAUAGACCCGAAACCCGGUGAUCUAGCCAUGGGCAGGUUGAAGGUUGGGUAACACUAACUGGAGGACCGAACCGACUAAUGUUGAAAAAUUAGCGGAUGACUUGUGGCUGGGGGUGAAAGGCCAAUCAAACCGGGAGAUAGCUGGUUCUCCCCGAAAGCUAUUUAGGUAGCGCCUCGUGAAUUCAUCUCCGGGGGUAGAGCACUGUUUCGGCAAGGGGGUCAUCCCGACUUACCAACCCGAUGCAAACUGCGAAUACCGGAGAAUGUUAUCACGGGAGACACACGGCGGGUGCUAACGUCCGUCGUGAAGAGGGAAACAACCCAGACCGCCAGCUAAGGUCCCAAAGUCAUGGUUAAGUGGGAAACGAUGUGGGAAGGCCCAGACAGCCAGGAUGUUGGCUUAGAAGCAGCCAUCAUUUAAAGAAAGCGUAAUAGCUCACUGGUCGAGUCGGCCUGCGCGGAAGAUGUAACGGGGCUAAACCAUGCACCGAAGCUGCGGCAGCGACACUGUGUGUUGUUGGGUAGGGGAGCGUUCUGUAAGCCUGCGAAGGUGUGCUGUGAGGCAUGCUGGAGGUAUCAGAAGUGCGAAUGCUGACAUAAGUAACGAUAAAGCGGGUGAAAAGCCCGCUCGCCGGAAGACCAAGGGUUCCUGUCCAACGUUAAUCGGGGCAGGGUGAGUCGACCCCUAAGGCGAGGCCGAAAGGCGUAGUCGAUGGGAAACAGGUUAAUAUUCCUGUACUUGGUGUUACUGCGAAGGGGGGACGGAGAAGGCUAUGUUGGCCGGGCGACGGUUGUCCCGGUUUAAGCGUGUAGGCUGGUUUUCCAGGCAAAUCCGGAAAAUCAAGGCUGAGGCGUGAUGACGAGGCACUACGGUGCUGAAGCAACAAAUGCCCUGCUUCCAGGAAAAGCCUCUAAGCAUCAGGUAACAUCAAAUCGUACCCCAAACCGACACAGGUGGUCAGGUAGAGAAUACCAAGGCGCUUGAGAGAACUCGGGUGAAGGAACUAGGCAAAAUGGUGCCGUAACUUCGGGAGAAGGCACGCUGAUACGUAGGUGAAGUCCCUCGCGGAUGGAGCUGAAAUCAGUCGAAGAUACCAGCUGGCUGCAACUGUUUAUUAAAAACACAGCACUGUGCAAACACGAAAGUGGACGUAUACGGUGUGACGCCUGCCCGGUGCCGGAAGGUUAAUUGAUGGGGUCAGCGCAAGCGAAGCUCUUGAUCGAAGCCCCGGUAAACGGCGGCCGUAACUAUAACGGUCCUAAGGUAGCGAAAUUCCUUGUCGGGUAAGUUCCGACCUGCACGAAUGGCGUAAUGAUGGCCAGGCUGUCUCCACCCGAGACUCAGUGAAAUUGAACUCGCUGUGAAGAUGCAGUGUACCCGCGGCAAGACGGAAAGACCCCGUGAACCUUUACUAUAGCUUGACACUGAACAUUGAGCCUUGAUGUGUAGGAUAGGUGGGAGGCUUUGAAGUGUGGACGCCAGUCUGCAUGGAGCCGACCUUGAAAUACCACCCUUUAAUGUUUGAUGUUCUAACGUUGACCCGUAAUCCGGGUUGCGGACAGUGUCUGGUGGGUAGUUUGACUGGGGCGGUCUCCUCCUAAAGAGUAACGGAGGAGCACGAAGGUUGGCUAAUCCUGGUCGGACAUCAGGAGGUUAGUGCAAUGGCAUAAGCCAGCUUGACUGCGAGCGUGACGGCGCGAGCAGGUGCGAAAGCAGGUCAUAGUGAUCCGGUGGUUCUGAAUGGAAGGGCCAUCGCUCAACGGAUAAAAGGUACUCCGGGGAUAACAGGCUGAUACCGCCCAAGAGUUCAUAUCGACGGCGGUGUUUGGCACCUCGAUGUCGGCUCAUCACAUCCUGGGGCUGAAGUAGGUCCCAAGGGUAUGGCUGUUCGCCAUUUAAAGUGGUACGCGAGCUGGGUUUAGAACGUCGUGAGACAGUUCGGUCCCUAUCUGCCGUGGGCGCUGGAGAACUGAGGGGGGCUGCUCCUAGUACGAGAGGACCGGAGUGGACGCAUCACUGGUGUUCGGGUUGUCAUGCCAAUGGCACUGCCCGGUAGCUAAAUGCGGAAGAGAUAAGUGCUGAAAGCAUCUAAGCACGAAACUUGCCCCGAGAUGAGUUCUCCCUGACUCCUUGAGAGUCCUGAAGGAACGUUGAAGACGACGACGUUGAUAGGCCGGGUGUGUAAGCGCAGCGAUGCGUUGAGCUAACCGGUACUAAUGAACCGUGAGGCUUAACCUUACAACGCAGAAGGGGUUUUG